GAUGAACGCUGGCGGCGUGCCUAAUACAUGCAAGUCGAGCGAACAGACGAGGAGCUUGCUCCUUUGACGUUAGCGGCGGACGGGUGAGUAACACGUAGGUAACCUACCUAUAAGACUGGGAUAACUUCGGGAAACCGGAGCUAAUACCGGAUAAUAUUUCGAACCGCAUGGUUCGAUAGUGAAAGAUGGCUUUGCUAUCACUUAUAGAUGGACCUGCGCCGUAUUAGCUAGUUGGUAAGGUAACGGCUUACCAAGGCAACGAUACGUAGCCGACCUGAGAGGGUGAUCGGCCACACUGGAAGUGAGACACGGUCCAGACUCCGACGGGAGGAAGCAGUAGGGAAUCUUCCGCAAUGGGCGAAAGCCUGACGGAGCAACGCCGCGUGAGUGAUGAAGGUCUUCGGAUCGUAAAACUCUGUUAUUAGGGAAGAACAAACGUGUAAGUAACUGUGCACGUCUUGACGGUACCUAAUCAGAAAGCCACGGCUAACUACGUG
rnacentral:rRNA from 1 species